UACGAAGGGGGCUAGCGUUGUUCGGAAUUACUGGGCGUAAAGGGCUCGUAGGUGGCCAACUAAGUCAGACGUGAAAUCCCCAGGCUCAACUUGGAAACUGCGUCCGAUACUAUUCGGCUAGAGGAAUGGAGGGGAGACUGGAAUACUUGGUGUAGCAGUGAAAUGCGUAGAUAUCAAGUGGAACACCGGUGGCGAAAGCGGCUCACUGGGUAUUUUCUGACGCUGAUGCACGAAAGCUAGGGGAGCAAACGGG
rnacentral:rRNA from 1 species